AUACUUACCUAGAUGGGAUCAAUGGGCGAUCAAUGAGGCCUAUGGUCUAGGUUGGUGACCUCCAUUGCACUCAAAGAGGGGUGCCUGCCUAAGUUCUACUCAAGUAAUGGAGCGUAAGUCAUAAUUUAUGGUAGUGGGGGCCUGCGUUCGCGCGGCCCCUUC